GGGCUUGUAGCUUAGUGGAUUAGAGCGGCUGACUACGGAUCAGCAGGUCGGGGGUUCGAGUCCCUCCAAGCCCG
rfam:Thermosynechococcus elongatus BP-1 DNA, complete genome.